rnacentral:rRNA from 1 species
AGAGUUUGAUCCUGGCUCAGAUUGAACGCUGGCGGCAGGCCUAACACAUGCAAGUCGAGCGGAUGACAGGAGCUUGCUCCUGAAUUCAGCGGCGGACGGGUGAGUAAUGCCUAGGAAUCUGCCUGGUAGUGGGGGACAACGUUUCGAAAGGAACGCUAAUACCGCAUACGUCCUACGGGAGAAAGCAGGGGACCUUCGGGCCUUGCGCUAUCAGAUGAGCCUAGGUCGGAUUAGCUAGUUGGUGAGGUAAUGGCUCACCAAGGCGACGAUCCGUAACUGGUCUGAGAGGAUGAUCAGUCACACUGGAACUGAGACACGGUCCAGACUCCUACGGGAGGCAGCAGUGGGGAAUAUUGGACAAUGGGCGAAAGCCUGAUCCAGCCAUGCCGCGUGUGUGAAGAAGGUCUUCGGAUUGUAAAGCACUUUAAGUUGGGAGGAAGGGCAUUAACCUAAUACGUUAGUGUUUUGACGUUACCGACAGAAUAAGCACCGGCUAACUCCGUGCCAGCAGCCGCGGUAAUACGGAGGGUGCAAGCGUUAAUCGGAAUUAUUGGGCGUAAAGAGCUCGUAGGCGGUUUGUCGCGUCUGCCGUGAAAGUCCGGGGCUCAACUCCGGAUCUGCGGUGGGUACGGGCAGACUAGAGUGAUGUAGGGGAGACUGGAAUUCCUGGUGUAGCGGUGAAAUGCGCAGAUAUCAGGAGGAACACCGAUGGCGAAGGCAGGUCUCUGGGCAUUAACUGACGCUGAGGAGCGAAAGCAUGGGGAGCGAACAGGAUUAGAUACCCUGGUAGUCCAUGCCGUAAACGUUGGGCACUAGGUGUGGGGGACAUUCCACGUUUUCCGCGCCGUAGCUAACGCAUUAAGUGCCCCGCCUGGGGAGUACGGCCGCAAGGCUAAAACUCAAAGGAAUUGACGGGGGCCCGCACAAGCGGCGGAGCAUGCGGAUUAAUUCGAUGCAACGCGAAGAACCUUACCAAGGCUUGACAUGAACCGGUAAUACCUGGAGACAGGUGCCCCGCUUGCGGUCGGUUUACAGGUGGUGCAUGGUUGUCGUCAGCUCGUGUCGUGAGAUGUUGGGUUAAGUCCCGCAACGAGCGCAACCCUCGUUCUAUGUUGCCAGCACGUGAUGGUGGGGACUCAUAGGAGACUGCCGGGGUCAACUCGGAGGAAGGUGGGGACGACGUCAAAUCAUCAUGCCCCUUAUGUCUUGGGCUUCACGCAUGCUACAAUGGCCGGUACAAAGGGUUGCGAUACUGUGAGGUGGAGCUAAUCCCAAAAAGCCGGUCUCAGUUCGGAUUGGGGUCUGCAACUCGACCCCAUGAAGUCGGAGUCGCUAGUAAUCGCAGAUCAGCAACGCUGCGGUGAAUACGUUCCCGGGCCUUGUACACACCGCCCGUCAAGUCACGAAAGUUGGUAACACCCGAAGCCGGUGGCCUAACCCCUUGUGGGAGGGAGCUGUCGAAGGUGGGACUGGCGAUUGGGACUAAGUCGUAACAAGGU